CAGCCUCUCUUUUUUUCCGACGUUUCCAUAAGAACUAGACGAAAAGGGGCCGUGCAGCACGCUUUACCAUAUAUUAUUACGCUUGAAUAAACGGCCUUGUAUUAUACCUUAUCCGCCUUGUCCAGAGUCUCAACUUGGUCUCGUUUCUCAUAUAGUUAUUCAUCAACACUAUUUUAUUUUGUAUUUUCGUGGAAAAGAUGUCUAAAUAUUUUUGAGCAGCUGUUAGGGUAGGCAUGGAGGGUCUUCAAGAUGCAAUUAAACACCAGUUGCCUGAGUUAGAGACUGAGAUGGUGAGAUCUUUGUUGGUGUAUCUUAGGGCAAAUGUUGGAGUGGAGAAUAUUAACACCCUUGAAUAUGUUCAGCCGGAGGACAUGAAAUACCAUUUGACGCCAAUACAGUGCCGGGAAUUGCUUCAGUCCUUCAACCAAAGAGGAAAUUAUGAAUGGAUAGGAUCUGUAACAAUGGAUAGGACACAUGUCCUCCUCCGAGCAUCAGUGACCUCCAGGAACAGUGGCCUUUCCUUUUCUCCAACUUAUGGCUCUGCGACCACUUCAAUACUCGUGAUUGACAGCCACCUGACUCAAGCUCUCCUGAACAAAGGGACAGAUAAUUGUCUACUUUUUUAAAAGCCAAAAGACCAAGUUGAGCAGAGAGAUCCGGUGCCUGCUAAAUGAAACCGACAGUUACAAAAAGGCGAUGACGAUCUAACAGCCACUGCUGCCAUUCUUUUGUUGAUGACCCACUUCAAAGAGAAGGACACAUCUCUGUUCCUCUUGGCAGAUGUAAGGAAUAGUGUUUUUAUAUUUAUAGUUUCCAUAUGGACAAUGACCGCAAGCAUACUUCCAAAGUUGUUGCAAAAUGGCUUAAGGACAACAAAGUGAAGGUAUUGGAGUGGCCAUCACAAAGCCCUGACCUCAAUCCUAUAGAAAAUGUGUGGGCAGAACUGAAAAAGCAUGUGCGAGCAAGGAGGCCUGCAAACCUGACUCUGUUACACCAGCUCUGUCAGGAGGAAUGGGCCAAUAGUCACCCAACUUAUUGUGGGACGCUUGUGGAAGGCUACCCGAAACGUUUGACUCAGGUUAAACAAUUGAAAGGUCACUGCAUCUCGGGUUGAUGUCAAGGAGCAAAUUCCUUUGCCAGACACACCAAGGCUGAUCAUGCUUGGAAAUACUCUAUUGGGUUCCUCAAAAUGGAUCAAGGGGAGAGGGGUCUGUGUUUUGGACAGUGCAACUUUGCUGCUGCCCUCUGUGCUCUUCAGCACUUUCUAUGUUUUUAACAUAGAAUAACAGGAGUCGGCCUCUGCAACCUUGGAGCUGAUACAGAGUAGCUACUAUCUUGUCUCAUCGCUACAACUCCCGUACGGACUCGGUCCUCCGAUACACAACCCAACCAAGCCGCACUGCUUCUUAACACAGUGCCAUCCAACCCGGAAGCCAGCCGCACCGUGCACCUGGCAACCUUGGUUAGUGCGCACUGUGACCAUCCCUAACCCAGGCGACGCAAGGCCAAUUGUGCGUCGCUCCAAGGACCUCCCAGUCGUGGCCGGUUAACCCAGAGUCUCUGGUGACCCAGCUGGUGCUGCAGUACAGCGCCCUUAACCACUGCGCCCUUAACCACUGAAGGAACCAAAUGCACAGCGAAAGCAGGAGUGAGCUGCAAAACUGGAAAGGUCAUUCAGAGGAAGCCAUUGCCAAUUGGCCAAAAUGUUACACGCUUUCUCGCAGACCUGAAGGAGUUUGAGUGGAAAAACUCCAACACUUGACAUAUCAGAGGAUCAGAGGAGGAUCAGAGUUUCAAAAAUUGGGGUGAUAACCUGCACGCCACUGAGAUUUAUUCGACUUGUUUGCAUCUCUCAUUAUCUCAGAAAUCCUGCCAUGUGGGCUGGGUCAGCAAAUGAUCUGCUUGCUCCAUCCCGGAGCCUGUGUUGGCUUGAGGUAGCAUGCUACUCUGGCUCUAGUCUAGCCCUGCUUUCUCCUCUCUAUCCAUCCUUCUCUCUCAGCCCUUUCCUCUCUCGAUCUCUCUCGUUUCUCUCUCAAAGACAGGUAGGCAAGCAGUUCUUGUUAUAAUUUUUUGUAAAAAUGUCCCACUGUUCAACUGUUUCCCUAUUUUUCAUUGAUCUGUUUAGAUUUUUUUUUCUUUCUUACAUAAUCCUGUAUUGUCAAGAAUGACCUAUUCUGAUGUCUUGGUCUGUGUAUGGUGAAGUACAUUAUUGACCAGUAUUUGUCAAUGUUCUUAUCAUUGUAUCGCUCUCUGUCUCUCUCUCCCCUAUCUGGAGUUGUAAAUGUUGCUCUUUUCAAAUGUUGUUCUUUGCGGUUAAAGUGCAAUUCAUGUGAAAUUCAUGUUAUGAAUUUGAAUAAAUAUAUAUAUUUGUA